GCACCGCCCCCGCCGCGCCCGCUGUGCUCGCCCUAUUGGCUGCCGGGCUCCAGACCCCGCCCUUCGGCCCUGCGGCGCUCCGGAUUGGACAGAUUAGAGCGGAGGCGGCACGCCCCCCAGCCGCUAAAGGAACUACCUUGGGCUAGCAUUAGCGGCCUCUCCUGUCAGUCAAACGAGGAGCUCCUACUUAAGCCGCUGAGAGGCCAACACGGGUCACUCCCUGGGAAACGCCCAGAGGCCAGAGGCUAAAGGACUUUUUUUUUUUUUAGGUGGGCCAGAGUUUUGUGGUUUCCCUAGCUCCCAGAAGAAUUGCGAUCCUUGAUCAAGAAUCAGAAAAGGUGGACUUUGAGAAAGUUUCCUCGGAUCUGGAGAAAUUGCUACUUUUCUAGAGGACCCGGAUUCUAUUCCAAGCACCUACCUAGAGGCUUACCAUGUUGGGAUUGGCAGGAGGAGAGACGGUUCGGUUCGGUGGGUAAAGUACUUACGGCACCAACGUGAAGACCCGAGUUCUGAUUCCCAGAAAGCAGGUUAUCUGUAUGUGUGUAUGCAUUCCACAGCACAAGUGGGAAAGGUCAGAGGCCAGUCCCCUGGAGAAAGUACAGUCCUUCCACCUUGUGGGGCCUCGGGAUCAAACGCAGGUUAUCAGACUAGAAAGCAAAGCACUUUUAUUUGCUGAGACAUCUCGUUGCCUUCUGAAAAACAGCAGAGGCAAACUGCCUCCAGCUGCCUGAAUGGGCCAGAACUCACCGGAUAGCCAAGGAUGACCUUGAGCUCCCGAUCCUCCUGCCUCUACCUCCCAGGAGCUAGGAUUACAACGACUCUUACAGGUGCAUCUGCCAUAUACCUCUACUGCUUCUCCUGCCUCUCAGUACUUCAGGGCACAGAUCCUGAUGGAAAGUCUAACUUCUACUAAAUGGAAAACCCAUGUGGAGUGUCUCUAGCACAGGACGACCAUUUGUGCCAAGUUAGACCAAGUAAAACUUGAAUGAAGACCCAA